AGAGUUUGAUCCUGGCUCAGGACGAACGCUGGCGGCGCGCCUAACACAUGCAAGUCGAACGGAGUUAAGAGGAGCUUGCUUUUCUUAACUUAGUGGCGAACGGGUGAGUAACGCGUGAGUAACCUGCCCUGGAGUGGGGGACAACAGUUGGAAACGACUGCUAAUACCGCAUAAGCCCACGGAGCCGCAUGGCUUUGAGGGAAAAGGAUUUAUUCGCUUCAGGAUGGACUCGCGUCCAAUUAGCUAGUUGGUGAGGUAACGGCCCACCAAGGCGACGAUUGGUAGCCGGACUGAGAGGUUGAACGGCCACAUUGGGACUGAGACACGGCCCAGACUCCUACGGGAGGCAGCAGUGGGGAAUAUUGCACAAUGGGGGAAACCCUGAUGCAGCGACGCCGCGUGGAGGAAGAAGGUUUUCGGAUUGUAAACUCCUGUCGUUAGGGACGAUAAUGACGGUACCUAACAAGAAAGCACCGGCUAACUACGUGCCAGCAGCCGCGGUAAAACGUAGGGUGCAAGCGUUGUCCGGAAUUACUGGGUGUAAAGGGAGCGCAGGCGGACCGGCAAGUUGGAAGUGAAAACUAUGGGCUCAACCCAUAGAUUGCUUUCAAAACUGCUGGCCUUGAGUAGUGCAGAGGUAGGUGGAAUUCCCGGUGUAGCGGUGGAAUGCGUAGAUAUCGGGAGGAACACCAGUGGCGAAGGCGACCUACUGGGCACCAACUGACGCUGAGGCUCGAAAGCAUGGGUAGCAAACAGGAUUAGAUACCCUGGUAGUCCAUGCCGUAAACGAUGAUUACUAGGUGUUGGAGGAUUGACCCCUUCAGUGCCGCAGUUAACACAAUAAGUAAUCCACCUGGGGAGUACGACCGCAAGGUUGAAACUCAAAGGAAUUGACGGGGGCCCGCACAAGCAGUGGAGUAUGUGGUUUAAUUCGAAGCAACGCGAAGAACCUUACCAGGUCUUGACAUCCGAUGCAUAGUGCAGAGAUGCAUGAAGUCCUUCGGGACAUCGAGACAGGUGGUGCAUGGUUGUCGUCAGCUCGUGUCGUGAGAUGUUGGGUUAAGU
rnacentral:rRNA from 1 species